CUCUAUUUUCAUUUUUUCACAAAACUUUUCAUUCCUCUCCUUCCUCCUUACUUUCUCUCAAUUAUUCAUCAAAUAUAACUUAAAGAAUCUUUUGUUUCAAUUUUUCUUCUUUCGGUUCUCUGGAUCUAAAAAGCUUUGAUAUUCUUCUUCCCUUUGUGAUCGAUUGGAACGACUUCGCAUGUCUACGGAGGUUGUUUGGUAUGGCCAUUAUUCUUAUCAAGUUUUGUUCUUUUGAUAAUUUUAGUUACAGUUUGAUUAAAAUGUAAAGCAAUGUAUGAAAAUUUAGUUAAUGUCAUUAAACCAUAUUUUUGUUUAUAUUUUAUA